UUGCCCUAUGGGGAAAUCGGAUAAAAUUGGAACGAUAUGGAGAAGAUUAGCAUGGCCCCUGUGCACAAAUAACUUUUUCAUGAUGUUGCUGUCAAGGUU
rfam:Nicotiana attenuata strain TT chromosome 10, whole genome shotgun sequence.